UGGAAACUGAUAAUUAUGAUCUUAUUUAUUUUAAAUGACUGGUUAAAGCUGCAUUAUAACUUAUCAAUUAGAUGUACGGACAUUACGCUAACACCAAGAGCAGGCAUCCAUACACCAGGUCAGAAUCCUAAGUGCAUUUAGUGAAAGAGUGAGAUAAAUGUGAUACAAGCACUUACAAAGACCUGCCAAAAUGCAGGCUAAGGAUAGGAACAAUGAAGCAAAAAAAUCCAUUGUCCAUACUAAUGUGACAAUUGUAGUUUGUGAUACAAAACCAGCUGAAGGCUGUGUUGUUAAAGGAUAGCUGCCUGUAGCAAGCUGGAAGGUUUGAAGAUGAAAUGGACAUCAAGCUAUGGCAUUAAUGGACUGCAGUGCUACAGAAAUGAAGUUCCUUUGGCUGGAAUUCAGCAGCUCCCUUUGUCAUCGUUGACCAUGAAUGGAUGAACUUCAUGUAGAUGAUGCCCAUUUCCCAUCUUUGAAUCAAACAUUAAUACCAUUUGACAGUAAUAAAUAACAUUUAUCACAAUAGGGAUCUACUAAUGAUUUUCCCACUAAGCUGGCUCAUCAGAACCUAUCAGCUGACAACUGCAUAAAUGAGAUUAGCAUAACAGCUGCCUAUGACAAAUGUAUCUAAAUCAUUUUAAUGCCAGCUAGCUCUUUGAUCUCCCUAUCACGUUGUUGCCAAAACUAAAUCCAUUUCUUCAAGAUACAUGUUGUUUAUUACAGAUACAUGUGUAUAUUCCACACCAUUAUGUACUCCAGAGAUUUCAGUAAUUAAAAGAAUUAAAAAUACUGAUUGGAUACUGCCACUAUAAUGUAAACUUGCAACUCUGCACUUCAGAACAGCAUUCCACUGCCUACUUAGUCCCCUCCUCCUUCUCCAGAUUGCAGAAUUCAGUGUUUAAUAGCUGCAUGUUUCUCUGACACAAAAUACAUGUUUUAACGUAAAUACAUGUAUUAACUUCUCUUUCUGAGUAUCCCUUACAGCGGCAUCAUUUUCAUACAAUUUAGACUAAUUCCCAGUAAUAUAGGAGUUGGCUCCAGGCAAAUAUUGAAGCAACGAGUCAUUGCGUGUGCUUGUAUGAAUGCAAGACUGACAAAGAAAAUCUCACUGGUAGUGCAGCAUUCAUGUUGUGACUGUUAUUAAAGGGUUGCCUAUGAGAUUGUCAUACAAUCUCAUGACAACAGACUUCAGACAGACCAAUGACAAUAGCACUUCCAUAACCACACUUCUAAAAG
ensembl:lncRNA